AAUGUGUCAAUCGUUUCGUUGUUUUGUUAAUUAAAAAAGUAUAUAUUAACCAUUAAAAUAGUGUACGGUAACUUAAAUUUACUUUAAAAAGUUUAUUUUUACUUAUUGAUAUGUGAAAUUAGUUUUGGUUUACUAUUUUGAUAGUGAAAACGGUCAAAACUCAAAGAGCGAAAGAUUGCAUACUUUCUAACCUAAAAAAUUUAACGUGCAGCAAUUUUAAUAAUAUUAUAGUUAAAGUGUAAUUUUUAAUUGUGCAAGUGUUUUAAAAAGUGAAAUGAACUGAUGUUCGUCUACGUGUAAAUAAAAAGUGCCUUGAGAUGAAGAAUUUGAAAAUGACAAGUGUGCCAUCAUUUCUCGUGAGUCAAAACAAAAACUUUUAGUCCUGAUUAGAUUUACAAUUUAUAAAAUUAAUUAUGCCUUAAAAUAAAGAAAAAAGUUGCCGAAUAAGAAUACAUAGAGAACACUGUUGAUUCGGUUAAUAAUUUUUGUAAUAAACUAAAUUGCGAAAUUAGAUUAUUGUAACAAGUUUUGAAUUUUCGCGCCAAUUUAGUAACGCUCUCUUCCGCUAGGCAGCUCUGCUAUUUUCCGUUUUGGCUUUUUGGCGCGCUGAGUAGCCAUCAGUAGCCAUUAAACGUCAUAAGUAAACAAAUUUAUACAGUUCUCAAUAUUUCUUCAUGUUUUAUUUUAUUGAAAAAGUGUAUUUUAGUACAAAUUUAUACUAUACAGUGACUUAAAAUAACAUUAACGAGUUUAUGUCUACAUAAUGAAGUAUAGAAUUACUAUUGCAUUUCGUUUGUGAGUGAAAAUUUAAACAGUGAAAGAAGUCGUCGAAUUUCCUAACCUACAAAUGUUAAAACCAAAAUAAUAUCAAUUAUUAAUGUUCAAAUAACUCAAAUACUUAAAAUUAAUUAAGUUUCAAUUAAAUAAUUAAAUUCAAUUCAAUUUCAAUUAAUUAACAAAGUAGUGGAUCGUUGUUACAUAAUAUUUGUAGUACACAAGAAGAGCGACGAUAUCGAGUUUACAAGAAGAGAUUAUUUCUACAAGUGGAAAAAAAUAUUGUAACAAUAAUUUAUUGUUAUUGACAAUAUUUAUUUUUAUUCUUUUGUUGAAGAAUAAAAACUAUGGCACGCAAUCAAAUUAGAAAUAAUGGAACUAGAG